rnacentral:rRNA from 1 species
UACGAGGGGGGCAAGCGUUGUUCGGAAUUAUUGGGCGUAAAGGGCGCGUAGGCGGUGCGGUAAGUCUGAUGUGAAAUCUCCGGGCUCAACUCGGAGUCUGCAUCAGAAACUGCCGUGCUUGAGUGUGGGAGAGGUGAGUGGAAUUCACGGUGUAGCAGUGAAAUGCGUAGAUAUCGUGAGGAAGACCAGUGGCGAAGGCGAAUCUCUGGACAGAUCCUGACGCUGAGGCACGAAGGCUAGGGGAGCAAACGGG